UGGACAGCCAGCUCUGUGGGGGCAGCUUCCACCCAGUGGGACCAGGCGUCAGGAGUGGAGAUGGUGUCUGGUGAGGCAUCGCCUGUCCCACGUCCCUGCUGGUGGGACCAGAUUCUCACCAGCACAUCCUUGUGGUCACCCGCUCAGGUUUGGGCUGGUCACAGUGACACAGCUGCAGCACGGCCACCACUUUGGGUAGAUGCCAACAUACCAGGACCUCAAGGUCCCAGAGAUGUGGCUGGGAUGUUUCUGCACCCCCCCUCCAUCCCCUCACGAGGCUUCGGGGAUCCUCCCGCAGCCCAAUCCUGCCUGGCGUGACCCAGCCCCCCCCAGGGGCCAUGGAGAUCCCUUUGGACCCUGUGAGAAGUGUCUGCACCCUCUGAGCUGGUCCUUCCCCCCACGUAUGUCCCUGCAGGGCAGCAAUCGGGCUGCGGUGGGCUGUGGGGGGCCAGGGCGGACUGACCUGUGCAGGAGUAGAGGCAGCAGGUCAGCAGGACAGAUGCCACCAAGCAGCCCGUUGAGCCGGCCAUCCCCAGCCAGCACGACCACCCAAAGUCAUAGUGGACCCCCAGGAAUAUAUUGUGCGACACCAGCGUGGCCCUUUCCACGUAGACGUCCACCGCGUACCACACGGAGCCCACGAGACCCAGGAUGCCUAGGAGAAACAGGGCUGGUUAAGAAAGAACUCUGCAACCCCCCAGGACCCCUCUGAGAGGGUGCCCCGAGCUCCUGGCACCCCUCCCAGCUCCCCAUGGGACCCCCGAGCGCUCCCAGCCACGCACUGCCAACACCAAGGGUGACACCAGCCCCAUAGCGCAUCUUCAGCUUGACACGAGGAUUUUCCUUGAGGAACUUGACACAAUCAAGCCCGAGGAGCAAGGAAGCCAAAGCCAGGCCAGCCAGGAGAUCCGCUGCAAUCAGCAGGGUCCGCGUCACCACGAUCUUCACUGGGCAGGGAAGGAAAGAAAAAAAAAAAACCCAGAAGAAGGGACUGAGGAAUGGUCAGAGGAACUGGUCUCCCCGCUCCGGAUUGCUGCCUGUGUCCCUGCUAGAGUCACCCAGCUCACCAGUGGCCGUGUCCAUAGGAGAUACCGACACUGGGACCCACCACCUGCCCUGGGCAAAGUGCUCCCCAGAAACCUUGCAACAGGACUUAACGAGCUCGUUAAUAGCUCAGCUCAAGAAACCAGACAUUUAAGGCGCACCAGUCGGCACCCAGGGUGUCAUCACCUACUCAAGACCUUCUUGCACAGCUUUGGACAGAAGAUGCUGCUGUCCAGACUGCCUGGUUUUCCUCCCAGUUGUGUAACUGGUGUUUUGACCAGCAAAUGUCUUUUUUUUUCUAAAAAAUAGCGGGGAAAAAUGUGGAGCUGGCAUGAGGCACGUCACCAGCUGUGAUGUCACCAGUGCAGUGCGACUUCUUCCUGCAGAGCUUCUCAGCACAGCAGCCCCACUUGGUCCGUGCGGACAUCUUGUUCCCUUCUCCACCGCCCCAAUCUGUGUUGUCCCCUGUCACCAUCCGUGGUAUGGAGAAGUCUCCACACCAUGACACGACUGUCCAGGAGCUGAGGACACAAGUCCCUGGCUGGUGGGGGUGGUCCUCAGCCCUGCGUGCAACGUCAACGGGGCUGCAAAUCCCACCGUGCGGUGGGGGAUAGGAGCGGCGCCUGGGCUCUACGUGCCACAACACCUUUGUUGGGAGGUGGCACAGCUUCUCUUCCGCUUGGUGACCCCGUGGCAGGUCUGGCUGGACCAUGGGUGGCUGUCCAGGCUGUGCUGGUGGGGCAGGAGAGCCAGGGAAGCCCCGGCCCUGCGUUGCUACCUGAUGAAGGGCAGCCCCUUGCAAGAGGCGCGUCUUCUUGGAAAGGGAAGAGGGACAACUCUUCGCUGUGAACUUGAAAAAUGCCUUCAGGCCAUGCCAGCUUACCUGGAUGGUCAGCCAGAAUGGAGUCAUACUGGUCACAGGUUCUCACCCCGUCCUGCAUGUUGGUGACACACUCCCUCCAAAGCCCCCGGCAUUUGUGACUUACCUGGAAGCAGGAGAAAGAUGCUCAAGCAGAAAGCACCAAAAAGCCCCCCAGCUCCCCCCAGAGAUAGCCCACCACCACUGGACGUGUCCUGGUGACUGCCUACCCAUACCUUGCUCUCUGUCUCCUCCUCUUGCUCCAGCAUUUCUUUCUCUCUCUAAUCCUCUAACCCUCCAACUGAUGCAGAAAGCAGCAGGUUUGUCCCACCACACCCCCUUUCCAAGCCUGGGGAGACACGGUGGGACCCCCUGGAUGGCGAGGCACCCACCUUGCUCCCGGCUGCUAACCUGGGAGCUGGCUGCCCUGCUCACCUCCAGGCUGUCGUCAGCGUUCACCAUCCAGCAGUCGGUGCAGGUGGCGAGGAGCAGGAAAAGGCUUGAGAGAAGAACGAGACCGAACGCUGUCAGCUGCAAAGCUGCGCUCAUGGGGUUACCUGCGAGGGCGUCGAGAUGUCCAUCACCUCUGCUGGGGCUGCUUCCCAGCUGCCUGAGGCACCAAAGUGCCACCUAGGCUGGGGCGUCGCCUGGAUCCCUAAGAGGCAUCUGGACCCCAUCUCGUGGUCCUCAGCGCUGCCAAAAUGCUCCAAUGGAGCUGCAGAGCCAGUUUUGCAUGUACAUAGGGACACAUCGCUUCUGCAGUAGAGCUGUACCCCCACGGGGCGGCUCUCCAGAUGUUCCCUCAUCCCAAGAGACCCCCUGGUAUUGCCCACCGGUACUACUUGUCCUUUGGGAAUCGAGCUGCUGGAAACUGCUGUCAAACGACUCUUGUUGUCUAAACUUGUGACUUCAGCAUGUGGCUCCUGAUACCCCGAGGUUUCCUUGAUGCCUCCAUCCCUGCAGCCAUGUGAUUCAGCGGGAAGAUCACCUGCCUUUGCAUGCUUUUUUUUUUUUUUUUUUUUUUUUUUUUUGUCCCCCCAAGAUAAGCAAUGAAGUGUUGAAACAGCCAGGUUGGAGCAGAAGCAAGUGUCCCAUGGAGGUGUCCCUCUCUCAAGUGGCCAGCCCAAGGAGGAAAGCAUCUCCCACCACGGAGGUGGGUGAGGGCUGCUGGGUGCCCCCAAGUGCUGCCAAGGCUUCCUGAAGACCAGAAGGGAUGGGACCGUCUGUUUUCCAUCCUUGCCAGAGAUGGAGGGACAUUAGGAGGGGAGCUGUGCCCAAGGUGUGGAGCAGAGGACAUCGUCUCUCCGAAGCCUGGACACAAAUCCUCCUUUGCUCUAUUUUGCAACCCAAGAUGCUAAAUAUUUCAGCACCUGAAGCUGCAGCCCUUUGGGCAAAGGGGUUCCUACUCUGGCUGUUUUGGAGCCUUUGAAGAAAAUCUGCUCAGCCAUCGGAGUUAUACCAGCAAAAGAAAUAAAGAAAAGAAAAGAAAUUGUGUUAGCAAUAAAAAGGGGCUGGUGGGGGUAAGUGUUACCUUCACCGCAGGCUCAUCCUUGCCGGGGUGGGACGAUGGCUGGGGAUGUGGGUCUUGAAGACUUUCAAGUACCGGUGGGGUUCGAUCCUGACCCACCUGAUGGAAUGAGGGAAAUGCAACGCCUGCCCAAGCCUGUGCUGGGUUAUUUAACGGUUUUCCGAGGUCCAAGGCACGUCAGAUGGACUUUGGGCUCCAAGGCGUGAUGGGCAUCCCUGCGGUUAGAAUGGUAAUAGGUUGGGAAGGGAGCCUCCCCCAAAAAUACCACGUGGGGAACCUGUGGCAGCCUGCUGGGAACACUCCCCAGGUGGGGGACUUUGUGUCCCAGGCAAAUAUCCCCCGUUCUUUAAUUAGACCUUUUAAUUACUGCCUAGGGGUGAGUGGCCUGAGACAUGUUGGGUCCCUGGGACCGGUGCGAGAGAGUCAGAGGGGUGGCGGCGGCCAGAGAAAGAAGCUAAAAUGCAAAGGGGAUAAUUAAAACCCUUUGGCCAGGCAUGCAGCCAAUAAUUAAGACCCUUCCCCGCCCCCCCUCCCCCCCCGCCCCAUUAUAUGUGGUGGUUAUGGCUCAGAUAAUGUGUCCAGUCAGCUCCCGAGGAGGUUUUUGUGACCGUGGAAAGCUGUGUCCCAGCUGCCUGGCACUUGGAGCUGUCCUGAAAACUUCAGGUUUGUUCCCUGGUCCCCUACUAUUUGGGGGAAAAAAAAAAAAACCAAACAAAAAAACCCUUUUGCUCUCACUUUUUUGCAAAGCGUGUUGCAGCGUCCUCUGAGCAUCCUUGGGAUCAGCUGCGCCCCAUGGCUCGCAGGCAUGGCUGCACCCUCAGCUCCAUCCCUAUUUCCAUUUCGUGGAUUAAAUUUAAGAGAAGCCCUUGGGGGUUUUAGGUUUGUUUUCGAGUUGGUUGGUGGAUUUUUUUUCCUUCUAGAUAAUCCUUUGCAGCGUUGAACUGCGGGGAUUUUGGCAACGCACCAGGGUCUUGGCAAAUCCUUGAGCUUCAGCCCUGCAGAGGCACCCAGGUGCUUGACUUUUUUUGGGGGGGUUAUCCUGUUUUCCCGGAAUUUUGGCACAUGACAGCUCCAACGCUUCAGCGUGGAGCAAUGAAUUAGUGCUGAAAACAUCCAGGAGGGUUUGUACCUUCAUUUUCCAAAAUUUACAUCUCAGGAUUUUGUGGUACUUGGACGUCCAUGGCAUUUGAAAUUCUGGUGUGACCCCAAGCAGUACAGAACUGCAGCUGUGCACCCUGGUGGUGCUUCUAAAACAGGUUUAUUUUUAUUUUCUGCUCAUCUAAACGGUCCCUUUAUUAUAUGUCAAACUAAUCUGCCUGGUCAAUUCUCAACUGAAACGUUUUGGGAGGGGUUGAAAGAAUGCAGGCAGAGGGGCAGAUCGAUCAGUAGUUGAAUAAUUAAGAUUAUUUCCCUGGUUAAUGAAGGUAAAAAUCAGAUCUUGUGUCCCACUAUGUCUGUAAAACCAGUGUGUUAAAAAAAUAGUGCUAACAGGAGACCCAAAGCUUUGUAUUUUAGCACAUGUUGUGCAGAGGAAACCUCUUACAGCUGGAAAGGGAGGAAAAAAAAAAAAAAGAAAUAAAAGAUGUUUUCUUUGAUGGGGCCAUGCCAUAGAGCUGGAGAGGGCUCUGUAGAUGCCGUUGGAGCAAGCUAACGUAUAAAAAUGAAUAAAAAAGAAUAAAACCAGCAUUGAAUUAAAACAGGCACAGCUCAGAGGCGUGAGAAAAGCUCCUCUGCGUGUGGACCGGCUGCGGGCCCCCGGCCAAGGGCAGUGCUGCUGCAGAAGCAUCUUCGUGCUAAAUGUAACGAGGCGUGCCCAGAUGGAUUUUUAGAUAUUUUUUUUUUUUAUGAAAAAACCGUGAUUUUUUUUCCCCCCCUUCUACUCAUUAUUUACAUGGAAUUUCAGUGCUGCGGCAAUUUGGUGAGAUUGGCUGUGAUCUUGGCCUCCAGGGGGUCAUUUUCCCUUUUCCCUCUUGUCUACCCAUUUAAAAAUUAAUAAUAUUCCAUGGGGGUUUGGGUGCCAGCAAGCGGUGUGCCCUGCAACCUACAUAUUGUUCAUCUUACUGGUUUUAUUCAAUACAAUAUGUGUGUUGGGCCGGGGGGGAGAACUUUUGGCCGGGGUGCGAUGGAUGGAGGCAGCUCCCAUGUACUGCAGCGAGCCCUGUGUCCUGCUCCCACAUUUUAUCCCGCUUUGCCCUGAGUAAAACACACGAGGGAUUGUCCCAAGGACAGUGGGGGCCUUUAUACCCCCAGCCACAUUAUCACCACUCUGCUAUUUUCCCCCUGCCACCACCCACUUUGAUCCAGCCGUAGCGUCCCUCCCCAGGAGCCUUCGGGUGACCUGUGGAGAUGUCACGGGAGCCCCCCUGGACCACAAAUCCCUGCUUUUUGAGGUGGGAUGGGAUGUACUUAUGGACUAGGUGCUGCAGGUGGGAUGAGGAUGCCGAGACAAGACGGCAGCCAUGCAAAAAGCUGGAUGGAAAGCAUCAUCCCCUGAGGAGAACCAAGUACAGCAUUACGGGGCCAGGGGUCCUGCUCCUCCACGAAGAAAGCAAAAAUCAAGUUAAAUUAGCAAAGUGCCCAAUUAGGCACUUUGGAUUUGAAUUUGGAUUCAUGGAAAAUGGGAGAAAAUAAGGCAGAGCCCAGCUGCAAGGGUCCAUGGGGGGCAAUAAGAGGAGGAUGCUGGUCGAGGGUCCAUGCGAGGCAAUAAGAGGAGGAUGCUGGUGGCACUUCAGCCCUGCAGAGGGACCAGGGCGCAAGAUGCCGAGUUUCCCAGGGGUUUCGCCUUAAACUAAGCAAUUUUUAAGGCCAUGUCCCCUCCUUCUAGAGCCACAUGUGGCAAAAGACUUGAGCUAUUGGGCUAGCACCUGCCCAGGAGGGCAAAAAAACCUUCAGCACGGGGGAGAGCCCCCCGCCUGUAGUGGCUUUGACCCAGCAGAGCUGUCACUCGCAGGGGACUGGGCCAGAUUUGGAAGUGCGGAGAACAAAGAGACGAUUUGAGCAAGAUACCCGUGAUUGGAAAUAUUUUAAUACCACUGAGUCACAAUUUUUAGUACAAACAAUCAGCAAAAGAAUGCAUUGAAAAAUCCCGAUCGGUCCCAUUCCCACGGCCAUGCAUCCCCUAGAAAAGUUAAUGCAAUUUUAUAGGAAAAGAAUAAAAAAUAUGUCGUUCUACGCGAUGCGGUGCUCUUGCUAUAAAACACCUUUUUGGUUAUUUGGCUUUAAAAAAAAAAAACCAACACAAAUUUCCUUUUCAAUCCUCAUUGCAGUAGCUUUCGGUGUGUAUUUUUGGAGGGGAACC